rnacentral:lncRNA from 13 species
AUGAAAGUGUACCAGGAGAGAAUAGAGCGCUACAGGAAGGUUUUCCAGCAGCACAAAGAGAGUUACUGCAAGAACCCUCUGGCCAAGCAGCUACUGAUGAUUCAGUCAGGAAAAGAAGAGCUGGAAAGCAGGAUUAAAGCUUGUGAGGACCAGAUAACAGCCAAAGAGAAGGCUCUGCAGGAUCUACUAGGUCAAACAUUGUCCAUCGAAAACCCAUUGGAAAGCAUCUCUGGUCUAUUGACGACAGCAGAGUCUCACAGACAGCCAUCGGCUCAGACUGAGGAUGACCAUCAGUCUCCACUAGACAUCUCCUCCCUCCAUGUUUCCCAGAAGGAGUGUCUGAACACCUCCAGUACAGUGGGGAUGGAGGAGGUGAAGGAGAGGGGGAUUGAGGGAGGAGAAGAACAGCCUACACCCCUCAUUACUGAGGCGGAGGAGAAUGAAGGGAUGGGAGCAGCAUUCUCUCCUCAGACUCCUGCUAGAAUGAAAGCUGUGUCCAGCACCCCAACCUUUUCCCUGAACAGUAGCCACAGUGGGUCACCUAGUCAGCUAGACGGAUCCACAGUGAAAUCCCCAGGCUUCCUGUUCUCCAUGAGCUCAGCUCCUAGCCCCACCACCCCCGACUUCUCUGGCUUCCACUGUGGCUUUGAACUGGGCUCAGGCCAGGAGGAAGAGCCUCCUUUCCCCUUCAGCAGCUCAUAUUUCAGCAGUGAAAAGAAACCGUCAGGAUCCAGAUCGCCAUCAGGCUUCCUGUUUGCCCGGCCAGAGUCGGAGAAGUCAGAAGAUGGAUUUGAGUUCCCCUUCAGCUCUAAGAGUCCUGGUCAACCGUCAACCAGCAGAGAGAAGGGAUCAGGGGCUGGGGACUCCUUCCCUUUCUCCUUUAACUUCUAG